GAUGAAGAACGCAGCGAAAUGCGAUAAGUAGUGUGAAUUGCAGAAUUCAGUGAAUCAUCGAAUCUUUGAACGCACAUUGCGCCCCUUGGUAUCCCGAGGGGCAUGCCUGUUCGAGCGUCAUUUCACCACUCAAGCCUGGCUUGGUGUUGGGCGACGUCCUCUUUGGGGACGCGCCUCGAAACGCUCGGCGGCGUGGCACCGGCUUUAAGCGUAGCAGAAUCUUUCGCUUUGGAAGUCGGGGCCCCGUCUGCCGGAAGACCUGCUCGCAAGGUUGACCUCGGAUCAGGCAGGGAUACCCGCUGAACUUAAGCAUAUCAAUAAGGGAGGA
rnacentral:misc_RNA from 1 species